AGUUUUAUGGAACCCUAUAAAAUGAAACCUGCCCAAUGAAAUUUUAAUGGCCGCAGUACUUUAACUGUGCUAAGGUAGCAUAAUAAUUUGGCUUCUAAUUAAAGUCUGGUAUGAAAGGAUUAAUGGGUAAAAGCUGUCUUGUUCGAUUAAAAAAAAAUUAUUUAAAAGGUGAGAAUCCCUUUAAUUAGCCAAUAGACGAGAAGACCCUAGGAGUUUUCGUUUUGUUGGGGCGACAUUUAAGUAAUCUUAACCUUUUAUCUAUUAAAACGAUUAUAUUAAUAAUAAUUAAACUACCCUAGGGAUAACAGCAUAAUUUUUUAAAAGAUUGUGACCUCGAUGUUGG
rnacentral:rRNA from 1 species